GCUACAUAUUAGCCGCAACUUGUGUUCAUGACUUCACCAUUGUUUUUUAAGCGGAGUCACAUUUUGUUACUAUAUUGGAACUAGAGUGAAUAAAUCAAGUGCCAAACAGCUUAGAACUUAGGAUUACUCCUUCAGUCAAAUUUAUCCCCACGAAAUGACUAGAACUGAUUCUAGUUAGUAAAAGAAAACAUUGGACGGCGUGGCAUACCAGUAGAGAGCGGUAGAAAGAUGCGUCCCAGAAUUCAGCUGAGGUUUGUUGGAGAACAGAUGAAAUAUUUGGAAGAACAAAUGCAAUUGAUGGAACCUGUUAUUGGCUUGAUGAAAAAUGCAUUGGAAAAAAGUAAGACGUGGAUAGAAGAUGAAAAUGACAACCCGUCUAUCACAUACAUAGAGCUUUGCCAUGAGCUUGCAUCAGCGACCACGGCCUUGUUGGAUGUAGCUUCAAACAUUUUAAGUAAACAUUGAAUAAAAUAAGUCUGUCUAAUUUAUAUAAUCAGUUAUGAACUAAAGCUAAAAGCUAAUUGCAAUUUUAAUUCAACUUAUUAUGUAUACUUUU